rnacentral:rRNA from 1 species
UACAGAGGGGGCAAGCGUUAUUCGGAAUUAUUGGGCGUAAAGGGCGCGUAGGCGGCUUGGCAAGUGGAAGGUGAAAUCCCUCGGCUUAACCGAGGAACUGCCCUCCAAACUGCUUUGCUUGAGGCCGGGAGAGGCGAGUGGAAUUCCCAGUGUAGCGGUGAAAUGCGUAGAUAUCGUUUGGAACGCCAAAGGUGAAAACAGACGACUGGGAGUGUGCUGACGCUGAGACACGAAAGCCAGGGGAGCGAACGGG